AACGAACGCUGGCGGCGUGCCUGAGACAUGCAAGUCGUGGGAGAAAGUCGGAGCAAUCCGGCUAGUAAACCGGCGCACGGGUGAGUAACACGUGGACAACCUGCCUUGGAGUUCGGGAUAACCCGUCGAAAGACGGACUAAUACCGGAUAUGACCACGGGGAGUUCGCUCUCUGAGGUAAAAGAUGGCCUCUGCUCCUGCAAGCUAUCUCUUCGAGAGGGGUCCGCGUCCUGCAGCUAGUUGGUGAGGUAACGGCUCACCAAGGCUAAGACGGGUAGCUGGUCUGAGAGGAUGGUCAGCCACACUGGGACUGAGACACGGCCCAGAGUCCUACGGGAUGCAGCAGUCAGGAAUAUUGCGCAAUGGAGGAAACUCUGACGCAGCGACGCCGCGUGGGUGAUGAAGGCCUU
rnacentral:rRNA from 1 species